UAGCAGGCACAAACCAGUUCCUUUACCAACCAAGCAGUCUUACUGGCCCCAGAAGUUUUGUUUUGUUGUAUUUCUGUUUUUUUUGUUUUUUUUUUUUUUUUAAAUCUGCCCAUUUUGCUCACAUCCUAGUUCAGACUUUCUCCAUGGAGUCAAACCUUACUUUAUUAGCUAUUUAGAUGGAAUUCACAGUGUAGAGGCAAAUGUAUACAGAUAAUUUUUUAUAAUAGUAGAAACUUCAGUUGCUUCCUCAUAUUUCUUCAGGGCAGUGAUCACAACCAGAUUCAACGUAUGCACAAAGCAGCGGAUGCCAUGGUAGCGGCCGUCGCUGAUUGCUCUUACCAUGUUGGAUCCAUUGUCAGUCUCAGAGACCUCCUUCCAGCUAGGUGCCUUGAACUCAAAUAGCUUUUCACACAGACUUCAGGAUGUGAGCUAAGGUAUGGCCUUUUUUCAUGAGCUGGGCCUACAUAUGGGUUGACAGUAAUCUGCAACUUGUAUAGAACAAGAAGGGACUUCUGUCAGACAGUGAGUGGCAGCGAUCACUGAUAGGCAGGUAGGGCUUAUCCUUUCUCUACUUGAAAAUCCUAUCAUCAUUUGGAGGUUUUUUUUUUUUAUGUAAGUUUUUGACAGUAAGAAGUCUUUGAUAACCUGUGUAAAAGUCUAAAAUACACCUUUGUGAUGAUUCUACCAUCAUCUUCAAUGUGAAGUAAUUGUUUUUAUGAACUUGGUGUAAGUUUUCUUAAAUUUCUAGAUUCUUGAACUGCUUUUAAAGUUGGUUUAAAAAAAACAUAAACAUAAAACUUACUAUCCUGCUAAUACUCUUAUAAUAGCCUAUCAGUAAUCUUCCUCUAAAAAUUGCAAUUAAGAAAUCAGUCUAUCCAGGAGUAGGAAUUAAAAAUUAGUGGUUUCCCCAAUAUAACCUUCAUGUCAGACUGGUAAAUACAAUAAAGCACUUAAUUCAUUGAUGUAGUUCAGGCUCCACAUUGAAGGAUGUUUUUUCAAAAAGAAUAUACAUUUCUGGGGGAAAAAAAGAGCUUUUCGUAUCUUCCUUCUUAUCUUGGUGAAAUACAUUAGACUGAAAUCUUUUUUAAAUACCGUAGAUCAGCUGCUUAAGACUUAAGUAUCAUCUAAAUUUUUUUUUUUAGCUAAAAACAAAUGUUUUCCCAAAUAACUUCCCACUUCCUUAUUAUCCAGUGUCUUAGUAGCUCACUAUUUAAGCUUAAUGAGAAUUAGUUAUAAUUGGGAAGGGAAAGUCGUUGUAAAUCAAGGGAAGUUAUUGUACAGAACCUUCCCACGUUCUUGACCCUUAGCAUUUGAGUCGAUUAUUACAACUUUACAUAGCUACAGUUGACAGCCUAUUUGAGUUUUUCCACAGGAAUCGUUUCUUCGUUAAGAAAUGGCCAGUAUUGGGCUGGAGAGAUGGCUCAGCGGUUAAGAGCACUGACUGCUCUUCCAGAGGUCCUGAGUUCAAAUCCCAGCACCCACAUGGUGGCUCACAGCCAUCUGUAAUGGGAUCCGAUGCCAUUUUCUGGUGUGUCUGUAGACAGCUACAGUGUACUCAUAUAAAUAGAAUAAAAAAUCUUUAGAAAAAAGAAAGAGGAAGGAAGGAAGGAAGAAAACGAAGAGGAGGAGGAGGAGGAAAAGGAAA
rnacentral:lncRNA from 1 species